GUUCUGGGUGUUCCCGUGAUUCCUUUUCUAUCAUUUAUUUUUCUUUAAGUCUGGAAUCUGAUUCCUUUUGGGAUGAGCACCCCUCUGAGCCCCCCAGUUUCGAGGCUUCUUUGGAGGUGACCACUGAAAAGUAUAGAUUCUAUAAAAUAGAUGUGAGGGGGCAUUGGACAGUAAUGUCACCUUAAUUAUACUUUUCAUAUAGCAGAUAUGUG